rnacentral:lncRNA from 1 species
GUUCUUAAGGCUGUUUACCAGAAGGGAAGGAUCUAGCUGUACGUCUUAAGCUCUUUGUUUUCCUGUGCCCUCAGGGGCUGAUUUGAAUCCCUUUCGAGUACUCCCUGGUCUGGUUUCGGGGAAGCAAUACGGACUUUCGGACUAGCAGAUGAAUUUCCAACGCGUACUCGUGAUACUCGUGGUGUUGUCAGUGUUGGCAGGAGUCGCAAUGACAGCGCCCUAUGAAGUCAAGCCGAGGGUGCGGUUCGGCUUCAGGAGUAGAUUCAACCGCAGGAAAUCUCUAGGCAUCUGGGCCCCGGAGAUCGACAACCGCUUCUGGCACGGGUACGAUAUAGACGGUUAUACUAGGAACGGAUGAAUGGAGAGGAUAUAUGCGACGCCAGAGACAAGGAUGCUGUGCUUUCAUCUGUGGCGUCUCGUUUCAUCUCAAGAGGGAUCUUUAACUCUGCUCAUCAUCAUCAUCAUUUCAACUCAUGAAUGCAUCGUGCAAAACCUAGGCUUGUUAGAUUUAAGGAGUAGAUUUAUCUAUUGUAUAGAAUGAAUGUGAUCGAUAAAAAUAAGUAAAUUGUUGUUAUUUGUAUUGCCUUUCAUUAAGUUCGGCGAAUUGAUAUGUAUUUUUUUCUGCUUGACUUUUCUUUGAGAAUGGCAUGAUUUUUCUUCAUGAUUAUUAGCUGUUACAUAUCUGUGACUGAUUCGAAAAAUUAUUUAUAUAUCAAUCUAUUUAUCAUAUUCAUCGUGUAUAUAUCAAUUCGCCUGUCUCUUCAUUAGUGCAAGUGGAAUUCACAGUUCCAAAUAACUAAUCCUAUUUCUCAUUUUCUUUUUCUAAUUCUUACUCUGAAGUCGACAUUUUCUAUUCUCUCAUUUUCUUUUUAUCAUUUCCUCUUGGCGAUUAUCAACAGAAAGCACACAAAGAAAAACAGAAAAAUAAUCAUCUUUCCCAUUUUGCCUUCAGGAUUUAUCAUUUCCAUUUAUCUUAUGCCACAUACAUGAUCAUCUUCCUUUAUUAAGUUGUGCUAAGUGCUAUGUAAGUCGCAUGUGCUGUUGAAUUUUAAGUAUAAGGCUAUUCUAUAUAGAACUGAGCUACCUCUUUGAAAUCAAAGCAUUUAUUUUCACACGUUUCUGUGCUUAUGCCUAUAUUGUACGUAUAUGAACUUAUUUAGAUAUGUACUGACACAUAUAUACAUGCUAUAUACUAUAUAUCCAGAAAAAAAUUAUCUGUAUGAAGAUUUUCUAACCA